AGAGUUUGAUCAUGGCUCAGGAUGAACGCUAACUACAGGCUUAACACAUGCAAGUCGAGGGGAAACGACAUCGAAAGCUUGCUUUUGAUGGGCGUCGACCGGCGCACGGGUGAGUAACGCGUAUCCAACCUGCCCACCACGUUGGGGAUAACCUUGCGAAAGUAAGACUAAUACCCAAUGAUAUCUCUAGAAGACAUCUGAAAGAGAUUAAAGAUUCAUCGGUGAUGGAUGGGGAUGCGUCUGAUUAGCUUGUUGGCGGGGUAACGGCCCACCAAGGCAACGAUCAGUAGGGGUUCUGAGAGGAAGGUCCCCCACAUUGGAACUGAGACGCGGUCCAAACUCCUACGGGAGGCAGCA
rnacentral:rRNA from 1 species